rnacentral:rRNA from 1 species
UCCAGACUCCUACGGGAGGCAGCAGUGGGGAAUAUUGCACAAUGGGGGAAACCCUGAUGCAGCGACGCCGCGUGAAGGAAGAAGUAUUUCGGUAUGUAAACUUCUAUCAGCAGGGAAGAAAAUGACGGUACCUGACUAAGAAGCCCCGGCUAACUACGUGCCAGCAGCCGCGGUAAUACGUAGGGGGCAAGCGUUAUCCGGAUUUACUGGGUGUAAAGGGAGCGCAGACGGCAGUGCAAGUCUGGAGUGAAAGCCCGGGGCCCAACCCCGGGACUGCUCUGGAAACUGUACGGCUAGAGUACGGGAGGGGCAGGCGGAAUUCCUAGUGUAGCGGUGAAAUGCGUAGAUAUUAGGAGGAACACCGGCGGCGAAGGCGGCCUGCUGGACCGAAACUGACGUUGAGGCUCGAAGGCGUGGGGAGCAAACAGGAUUAGAUACCCCAGUAUC